AAGUCGUAACAAGGUAUCCGUAGGUGAACCUGCGGAUGGAUCAUUAACAAAGAUCCUCUCCACGUCUUGUGAACUGUUUUGAACAAAUGUCACGGUGUCCUAGCAAUAGGAUGACCUGACAGCCAUAAGUACUCAUUGACUGAAGUAUCAUCUACUAUAAAGUAACAGUAGACAACUUUUAGCAAUGGAUCUCUUGGCUCUC
rnacentral:misc_RNA from 1 species